CUUCCCACAAGGAUCACGGUGCCUCUAUCUGUCCUCAGCCAACCCUUGAAAAAUAAGAGUGUGGUCACUACUCCCAUACUUAAAGGGAACAUAAGCACCAAUAUCAGCAAUCUGGGGAGGAACAUUAUCCUAACUACCAUGCCGGCAGGCACCAAGUUGAUUGCUGGGAACAAGCCUGUCAGCUUUGUGACUGCUCAACAGCUGCAGCAGCUCCAGCAGCAGGGACAGGCCACACAGGUUCGAAUCCAGACGGUACCGGCUCAACAGCUACAGCGCACAGCCGCCAGCUCUCCGAAAUCCACAGUGUCGACGGUGGUGGUCUCUAC